CAAUAGCGUAUAUUAAAGUUGUUGCGGUUAAAAAGCUCGUAGUUGGAUUUCUGCCGAGGACGACCGGUCCGCCCUGUGGGUGAGCAUCUGGAUCGGCCUGGGCAUCUUCUUGGGGAACGUAGCUGCACUUGACUGUGUGGUGCGGUAUCCAGGACUUUUACCUUGAGGAAAUUAGAGUGUUUCAAGCAGGCGCACGCCUUGAAUACAUUAGCAUGGAAUAAUAAGAUAGGACCUCGGUUCUAUUUUGUUGGUUUCUAGAGCUGAGGUAAUGAUUAAUAGGGAUAGUUGGGGGGCAUUAGUACUUGACUGUCAGAGGUGAAAUUCUCAGACCAAUGGAAGACGAACCACUGCGAAAGCAUUUGCCAGGGAUGUUUUCACUGAUCAAGAACGAAAGUUAGGGGAUCGAAGAUGAUUAGAUACCAU
rnacentral:rRNA from 1 species